UUCUCGGACACUCACUGGAAUAAGGCUGUGCCCUGGAGCCAGAGGCCCGAAUCCCCCCAACCCAGAGCUGCAAGAUGCUCCCAGACCACGGGGGGAGGAAACAUGUGCUCGAUUAAAACCUGGAUGUGGCACCCCUCCGGGAAGGAAGUCCCUGGGCAUUCCUGGCCUCAGGAGUUGAACCUCAGUGGUUCAAUGAUGGCAUAAGGACCUAGAAGCUUUCUGCCUCCUGCUCUGCACAUUGGCUUCAAUCCAAGGGUAGCUACCCUCUUGGUGGCAAGGUGGCUGCCAGCAACACCUGGAGCAUCCUGCAUCCUCACUCUUCCUGAGCAAGAGAAAGAGGCUGUGUCCCUAAACCAGACAGUAAAGGCCUUCCCUUCAGUCUGAUUGGGCAA